UCCCUUUCCUGUAUUUCAUUAGGAUGAAGAUGUCUGAAACCACGCCCUUUAUUUGGGGUAUGGGGCGUAGCAGGUGCAGAUAAUUGGGAAAUGAAUGAGACAAGAUGCCCUCAAAAGCUCAGUCAAGUGGCAGAGACAGACAUUGUGAAUACAUGAUCUUGGUUCAACAGCAGCUCUCAAGUGCUGUACAGAAUGGAUUGAUGGAAACAGCAAAGGCAUAAGAAUCUGAGAAGAUCCUUGGAAAUACCUCUCUGAAUAACCUCAUAACCUUCUAACCUUGCGUCAUUUAACUUCUCCGACAUAUAGCUAGGUGUGGCUGGAGUAUAGAAUACAUGGGAGAGUAUAAGAAGUUGGAAGAUCAUAUGCCAAGAAAGUUAAAUUAGCCAACUCAUGGGGUCCUUAUCUUCCAGGCUGAGAAAUUUGGACAUUAGUCUACCAGGCCUCUUUCAUGUUGAAAAAUAUCCAAUAGGUGUAUAUCACCUCCAUGAUAGCUGUCAAAAAUAUAUAGCCCUAGAGAUUGGGUGAAGUGUAGAUGUUAUAAGGGACAAUGGAAGGCAGGAAUACCAUUUAAGAGGUAAUUGCAAUACUAACAAAACAACAACAAACAUAAAAUAGGACUUUUAUAAGUGCUUUAUCUCAUUGACUGCACAUAAAUAGGUUCCUCAUACCUGUACCUAUAAUAGGAAUACCUUAGGAUAUAGGUACUUAUGAUACAGGUAUUCUUAUUGUAUUUUAUAGAUCAGAAGUGUGCGGUAAAGGAAAGUUAGGUAACCUGCUCAUGAUCACAGAGUUAGAGUGUCUUCAGAAAUCUUACUUUUAACCAUUACGUUAUACUGCAGUAGUGCAGGUGGGAGAACAGGAGGGCCUGAACUAAGCUAAAGCAUUAUAAAAACAUGCUUUUUAUUUGAAUGCACAUUUUGGACUUGCUAUCUCUGUGCCUAUAAUAUCAUUAGUACCUCCAGAAAAGGCACUCUGAAUUUUUGUUAUCUAUAAUGUUUUAACACAGACCUCUUUAGUGCUUAGCAAACAACUCAUGCACAUUUAGCAAAUGUACCAGGAUGAUGGGAGUCAGAGGCAUCGGUAGAUUCUGUCUACAAUUUGAAGUACAUGAUUCUACUACAACGUGAGACUCCAGUUUAUGCAUAUGGACAUCUUGCUUGACCUCCAAGAUCCAGUCUGCUGAUGAGGCGACUACUAUAAGAAUUAUUUGCAAUCUCUGCCCAUCCACAAACUCUCCACCCUGACUACUGCACUUAGAGCACUCUGCAGUAUUUUCCAGAUGUCUGUAAUCUGUCCUGUCACAGCUACAAAGAGAUCUGGGAAAACAGGGAACCCGUAUGAUUUUAACUAAGUAUGAACUACACGCAAGGCAAUAUGCAGUAAGGAAAAUAAAAUAUCUUGAAGGACUGGGAAAUGAUAAGUGACUGACAGUGUUUAAAUUGUGUGGAUGGUGUACCUAUAGCUUAAGUCAAAC